rnacentral:rRNA from 1 species
UACAGAGGGUGCGAGCGUUAAUCGGUAUUACUGGGCGUAAAGCGCGCGUAGGCGGCUUUGCAAGCCGGAUGUGAAAUCCCCGGGCUUAACCUGGGAACUGCAUUCGGGACUGCAUUGCUAGAGUAUGGGAGAGGGAAGUGGAAUUUCAGGUGUAGCGGUGAAAUGCGUAGAUGUCUGAAGGAACAUCAGUGGCGAAAGCGACUUCCUGGACCAAUACUGACGCUCAUGUGCGAAAGCGUGGGGAGCAAACAGG